CAGCAGCCGCGGUAAUACGUAGGUGGCAAGCGUUGUCCGGAAUUAUUGGGCGUAAAGCGCGCGCAGGCGGUUCCUUAAGUCUGAUGUGAAAUCUCGCGGCUCAACCGUGAGCGGUCAUUGGAAACUGGGGAACUUGAGUGCAGGAGAGAAGAGCGGAAUUCCACGUGUAGCGGUGAAAUGCGUAGAGAUGUGGAGGAACACCAGUGGCGAAGGCGGCUCUUUGGCCUGUAACUGACGCUGGGGCGCGAAAGCGUGGGGAGCAAACAGGAUUAGAUACCCUGGUAGUCCACGCCGUAAACGAUGAGUGCUAGGUGUUAGAGGGUUUCCGCCCUUUAGUGCUGCAGCUAACGCAUUAAGCACUCCGCCUGGGGAGUACGGCCGCAAGGCUGAAACUUAAAGGAAUUGGCGGG
rnacentral:rRNA from 1 species